rnacentral:sRNA from 1 species
GCUUUGCGUUAAGGAUUGAAGUGAAAAUCCUUUUUAAUUUUAAUUAAAUGGGCACAAUUAACAAAUAUGAGAUUGCCACACUUUACAAAAAAGUAAACUUGGCAAAGACGUAAUUAAAAAGAUUGAAACGUAAAGCCUGACCAAGC